rnacentral:rRNA from 1 species
CCUACGGGUGGCUGCAGUGAGGAAUAUUGGUCAAUGGGCGUAAGCCUGAACCAGCCAAGUCGCGUGAGGGAUGAAGGUUCUAUGGAUCGUAAACUUCUUUUAUAAGGGAAUAAAGUGCGGGACGUGUCCCGUUUUGUAUGUAUCUUAUGAAUAAGGAUCGGCUAACUCCGUGCCAGCAGCCGCGGUAAUACGGAGGAUUCGAGCGUUAUCCGGAUUUAUUGGGUUUAAAGGGUGCGUAGGCGGUUUUUUAUGUUAUGGGUUAAACGUCGGGGCUUCACCUGGAAUUUCCAUUAAUACUGUAAGACUAGAGAUCAGAUGAGGUAGGCGGAAUAAGUUAAGUAGCGGUGAAAUGCUUAGAUAUAACUUAGAACUCCGAUAGCGAAGGCAGCUUACCAGACUGCGACUGACGCUGAGGCACGAGAGCGUGGGUAGCGAACAGGAUUAGAUACCCGAGUAGUC